AACCUUCCCCCACUCAGACCCAAGACCACUGCAUCUCAUUUUUAAGUAUAUCAUCUUUCUUCCUAACUCUGUUUCCACUUUCUUCCGCAGAUACACUUCCUCAGGACCAAAUGAAUCCAAGUAGGCUGUAUAGCGAUCAUGAGCUGUAUACAGGGCAUUCUUAAGCUCAUCGGACAAAGGCUUAACAUCCUCGCCACUGAGACCAAUGCUAUCAUCCAAUUCCAUUUUCAAGUUCAUAAGUAUAUCACCAAACUCCUCAACUGCUUCAGCCGCUCGGAGAACAUUUUCCACAAUCUCCUUUCCAGCCUUGUCAUCAGUGCUUCCAGAUAACGCAGCCUUUACAUCAUAGACAACCGCCUCAGGAAGCUGAUCCCAACUUGCAGCCAUCAAUUCCUUGAA
rnacentral:misc_RNA from 1 species